UACGGGGGGGGCAAGCGUUGUUCGGAAUUACUGGGCGUAAAGGGCUCGUAGGCGGCCCACUAAGUCAGACGUGAAAUCCCUCGGCUUAACCGGGGAACUGCGUCUGAUACUGGAUGGCUUGAAUCCGGGAGAGGGAUGCGGAAUUCCAGGUGUAGCGGUGAAAUGCGUAGAUAUCUGGAGGAACACCGGUGGCGAAGGCGGCAUCCUGGACCGGCAUUGACGCUGAGGAGCGAAAGCCAGGGGAGCAAACGGG
rnacentral:rRNA from 1 species